rnacentral:tRNA from 1 species
AAAGCGGUAUCACAUCUCAGCUUGAAACUGAGAACCAGAGAAACUUUCUUUACGCUUUA